CUACGGGCGGCAGCAGUGAGGAAUAUUGCACAAUGGGGGAAACCCUGAUGCAGCAACGCCGCGUGGAGGAUGACGCAUUUCGGUGUGUAAACUCCUUUUAUCAGAGAAGAAAAUGACGGUAUCUGAUGAAUAAGCUCCGGCUAACUCCGUGCCAGCAGCCGCGGUAAUACGGAGGGAGCAAGCGUUAUUCGGAAUCACUGGGCGUAAAGGACGCGUAGGCGGGUUUUUAAGUCAGGUGUGAAAUCCUAUGGCUCAACCAUAGAACUGCACUUGAAACUGGGGACCUAGAGUAUGGAAGGGGCAGGUGGAAUUAGUGGUGUAGGGGUAAAAUCCGUAGAUAUCACUAGGAAUACCGAAAGCGAAGGCGACCUGCUGGGACAUUACUGACGCUGAGGCGUGAAAGCGUGGGGAGCAAACAGGAUUAGAUACCCUCGUAGUC
rnacentral:rRNA from 1 species